AGUUUGAUCCUGGCUCAGAACGAACGCUGGCGGCGUGCCUGAGACAUGCAAGUCGUGGGAGAAAGUCGGGGCAACUCGGCGAGUAAACCGGCGUACGGGUGAGUAAUACGUGGAUAACCUGCCUUGGAGUUCGGGAUAACCCGUCGAAAGACGGACUAAUACCGGCUAAGACCACGGGGAGUGCGCUCUCCGGGGUAAAAGAUGGCCUCUGCUCUUGCAAGCUAUCGCUUGAAGAGGGGUCCGCGUCCUAUCAGCUAGUUGGUGAGGUAACGGCUCACCAAGGCGAAGACGGGUAGCUGGUCUGAGAGGAUGGUCAGCCACACUGGGACUGAGACACGGCCCAGAGUCCUACGGGAUGCAGCAGUCAGGAAUAUUGCGCAAUGGAGGAAACUCUGACGCAGCGACGCCGCGUGGGUGAUGAAGGCCUUCGGGUCGUAAAGCCCUGUCGGAGGGAAAGAAAAGCCUGCUGGCUAAUAUCCAGCGGGCCCUUGACGGUACCCUCAAAGGAAGCACCGGCUAACUCCGUGCCAGCAGCCGCGGUAAGACGGAGGGUGCAAGCGUUGUUCGGAUUGACUGGGCGUAAAGGGCGUGUAGGCGGUCGGCCAAGUCUGAUGUGAAAGCCCGGGGCUCAGCCCCGGAAGGGCGUCGGAAACUAGCCGGCUGGAGCGCGAUAGAGGAGGGUGGAAUUCCUGGUGUAGCGGUGAAAUGCGUAGAUAUCAGGAGGAACACCGGCGGCGAAGGCGGCCCUCUGGAUCGUUGCUGACGCUGAUACGCGAAAGCGU
rnacentral:rRNA from 1 species